GAUGAACGCUAGCGGCAGGCCUAAUACAUGCAAGUCGAACGGUGUCUUCGGACAUAGUGGCGCACGGGUGCGUAACACGUAUGCAACCUACCUUACAUUGGGGGAUAGCCUUUCGAAAGGGAGAUUAAUACCGCAUAAGACAGUAGCUGGGCAUCCAGCAGCUGUUAAAGAUUUAUCGAUGUAAGAUGGGCAUGCGUCCAAUUAGUUAGUUGGCGAGGUAACGGCUCACCAAGACUUUGAUUGGUAGGGGAACUGAGAGGUCAAUCCCCCACACUGGCACUGAGAUACGGGCCAGACUCCUACGGGAGGCAGCAGUAGGGAAUAUUGGGCAAUGGACGCAAGUCUGACCCAGCCAUGCCGCGUGCAGGAUGAAGGCGUUAUGCGUUGUAAACUGCUUUUAUGCAGGAAGAAACGACUCUUGCGAGAGGCAUUGACGGUACUGUAUGAAUAAGCACCGGUUAACUCCGUGCCAGCAGCCGCCGCCG
rnacentral:rRNA from 1 species